UGUGCCGUGCCCCGUGUGAGAACGGCGGGACCUGCGUGGCGCCGGACAGGUGCAGGUGUGCCCGGGGGUACGUCGGGCCGCGGUGUGACAAAGCGAUAUGUCACCAAGGUUGUCGAAAUGGCGGCCGCUGUGUCAGGCCAGGGGUGUGUUCCUGUCGGCAAGGAUUCACGGGAAAAACUUGCGAAAAUGAUAUCUCCAGACAACACCCGAGAAACACGAACCUAGCGGCUCCCCUCGGUAGUCUAUGUUCCAAAAGGAGGAAAUCUCGAGCGUGUCUCAAAGGUCUUUGUGGGGUCAAAGGUUGUAAAAACGGUGGGAAAUGCAGCACAUCCGGGAAAUGUUUGUGUCGAAACGGUUUCCAUGGCAGCCAUUGUCAACACAGACGAUGUAAAACGUACCAGCGCUCCUCCGAGCCGUACAGAAGGGGCUACAAGAGGAAGUUUAAGGCCGUCACUAAAGAAAAGUGCGGCCCGUUUAGUCUGGACACGUGCGUCAAAGAAAGGUCCUUCUACAAGAUGAUAUACAAAACCUUUUACAGAACUGUUUACAAGUGUGGAUUAUAAAAAACCUGGACAAAAUUUUCAGUGCAAUAUCGAAUCUCCGUGAUGUCUGUGCCAGAGAUAAAAUGGCGUCGUUGGCCAUGGCAGUGAACUAUGACCUGUGACGUACUGGGUGCUCACUCCUAUGGAACAGCGCCGCCUGUGGAUUUACGUGAGAACUGCAGGAGUCACGACAACUCGGCAGUGCAAGAGGCCGUUUAAUCUGCUGACGUCAUUCCCAGACAGCUUUUGCGAAAAGGACUUUUGGCGGGAAAACUUCAGGAGACAUUUUUAGCUGCGGUAUCAGUAAUAACGCCAGGAGGCGCUUCUGGAUGGAAAGCAUCACCUCCACGUUGCUACCACCCAACAGAGAGAAAGAACGACACACAUUCUACGACAGUACGAGGGCGAGCUGAUGAGUUUCUCUUUUAAAUGGAUCUAGCUUCAGUUUUACUGAUCUAUGACUGAUUCCGAUGAACAAGAGUGAUUGACAUGAUUAUUUUCUCAUCUCCAGGCAAAUUCACCGGUGCCAUUAGUUAGUAUCAAAGCUAGCCAAGGAGUAUACCCUAGUCUCCAAGCAGACUCUACGG